AGUGAACGCUGGCGGUAGGCCUAACACAUGCAAGUCGAACGGCAGCACAGUAAGAGCUUGCUCUUACGGGUGGCGAGUGGCGGACGGGUGAGGAAUACAUCGGAAUCUACUUUUUCGUGGGGGAUAACGUAGGGAAACUUACGCUAAUACCGCAUACGACCUACGGGUGAAAGCAGGGGAUCUUCGGACCUUGCGCGUUUGACUGAGCCGAUGUCGGAUUAGCUAGUUGGCGGGGUAAAGGCCCACCAAGGCGACGAUCCGUAGCUGGUCUGAGAGGAUGAUCAGCCACACUGGAACUGAGACACGGUCCAGACUCCUACGGGAGGCAGCAGUGGGGAAUAUUGGACAAUGGGCGCAAGCCUGAUCCAGCCAUACCGCGUGGGUGAAGAAGGCCUUCGGGUUGUAAAGCCCUUUUGUUGGGAAAGAAAAGCAGCAGGUUAAUACCCCGCUGUUCUGACGGUACCCAAAGAAUAAGCACCGGCUAACUUCGUG
rnacentral:rRNA from 1 species